GACGAACGCUGGCGGCGUGCUUAACACAUGCAAGUCGAACGGAAAGGCCCUGCUUUUGUGGGGUGCUCGAGUGGCGAACGGGUGAGUAACACGUGAGUAACCUGCCCUUGACUUUGGGAUAACUUCAGGAAACUGGGGCUAAUACCGGAUAGGAGCUCCUGCUGCAUGGUGGGGGUUGGAAAGUUUCGGCGGUUGGGGAUGGACUCGCGGCUUAUCAGCUUGUUGGUGGGGUAGUGGCUUACCAAGGCUUUGACGGGUAGCCGGCCUGAGAGGGUGACCGGCCACAUUGGGACUGAGAUACGGCCCAGACUCCUACGGGAGGCAGCAGUGGGGAAUAUUGCACAAUGGGCGGAAGCCUGAUGCGGCAACGCCGCGUGCGGGAUGACGGCCUUCGGGUUGUAAACCGCUUUCGCCUGUGACGAAGCGCGAGUGACGGUAAUGGGUAAAGAAGCACCGGCUAACUACGUG
rnacentral:rRNA from 1 species